rnacentral:rRNA from 1 species
AGCUGGCGGCAUGCUUACACAUGCAGUCGAACGGCAGCACAGGUUAGCUUGCUACCUGGGUGGCGAGUGGCGGGUGAGUAACGCGUAGAAUUUACCUUUUUGUGGGGGAUAACCCGGGGAAACCCGGGCUAAUACCGCAUACGCCCUACGGGGAAAGCGGGGGACCUUCGGGCCUCGCGCAGAAAGAUGAGCCUGCGUCCUAUCAGGUAGUUGGUGAGGUAAUGGCUCACCAAGCCGACGACGGGUAGCUGGUCUGAGAGGACGACCAGCCACACUGGGACUGAGACACGGCCCAGACUCCUACGGGAGGCAGCAGUGGGGAAUAUUGGACAAUGGGGGCAACCCUGAUCCAGCAAUGCCCGGUGUGUUAAGAACGGCUCCGGGUUGUAAAGGCCUUUUAGCCAGGAAAGAAAAGUCGAUCGGUUAAUACCCGAACGGGAUUCUGAACGGC